ACCUACCCUUUCCCUCAUAUGGGUAUAUGCCAUUGCUACCUCCAGAUUUUUUAUCCGCGCUAUUGAUGAUAUACUUUCUGCCGAUAUGAGCUAUUGAUGAUAAACUUGCUCUUUUUUUGUUUCCUCUACAUUAGUUCCUUUCAAUGCUUAGGUUCAGUUGGGCACUAAUGACUAUUUCGGGUGCUUUGAAAUUAGAUUUUGAUGAUAUUAAGGUCGUCAUCAAUCUACAUGAACAAAGGAGAGGUUUGCCUGAAUACUCGUAGCUAAAUUGGUUUUUCUCCCUGUGUUUCUUUUCUGGUCUUUUUUGUCUUUUGCAGUUGGUGUAUAUAUGUUCGGAAGCUAAAUUGAGUCUUGACUUUUAAGAAGAAAAAUACAUCGUUGCAGUAAUUGUACAGUUUAAACCUAUUAGUUCGUGGUGUAAGCACAUGUAUUAGUGAGUCAGUUUAGAGCUUGUACUAUUAGUUGUGCAUGUUAGCUCACUCCCCUGUCUCAACCCGGAGCCAGGCACCGAGUUAGACCUUGCCAACACACGAUCUCUUCUUCCUCAACUCCUCUGCUUUCUGCCUCCAGGUCCAGGUCGCUCUCCUCAGUGGUGCUACAUGAGUGAAGAUUUAUGUUUGCUACUGGAUCCGAAAUCCUUCAUCUUUGCUGAUGCUAUUCCCCUAUUUUUUCCCAUCACUUGACACUCUGAUCUCCUGAUUUUGGUCUCUGGUUUUUGAAAUGCAGAUAGUGGCCGCAGCGUUGCCGCUGGACGGCGCACACUGGAGCUCGAGUAUGCAGCCACGACAGAGCUGCUCGGACAUCACUGUGCACAGUGCGUUUUAUUCUGCAUAUCAUAAUACAACAUUGCGUGAUGGAGUCAUCAAUGGCAUCCAGAAGACCAGGGAAGCAUAUGACAAUAUUCCCAUCAUGGUGACUGGACAUUCCAUGGGAGGGACCAUGGCUUCGUUUUGUGUCCUUGAUCUUAUUACUAGUUAUUGCUAAUAUUUUGUUGGGAAUGACAGCAAGUGUGGGCGAAUCAAGAACCUCAGUGAUAGUAUAAUUUGAUUUCUGUGCUGUUCUUCUGAAUACAAAAAUCUUAGACGAGGCAGAUGUAACUAUCUUUGUUCAUGUGUGGACAGUACACCUUCUGUAUAUCUGAACAGUGGCAUCAAGCAUAAGUAGUACUAGCGUCUGUUUUUGUCUAUCCUGAAAAGUACGACAUGCUUCUGAUUUUAGCCACCAUAUUGGGCUCGAUAGCCUAGUAUACCCGAUCGAGCAAAUCUGUGACGAUUCUGGUGAAGACCCCACUUGCAGCAGGUCUGUCAGUGGAAAUAGCGUGCAAGACCAUAUCCACUAUCUUGGCAUCAGCAUGCAUUCCGAGUCGCGGGGAUCAUGCAGGAUCGUCACGGAUGACAAUAUGCUCAGGUACAAAGUUGGCACUGUAGACGGUGCUAUUGUCUUCUCGAAGCAGCCUGGUUUAUCAGUUGAUCAGCUACUCAGUGCACAGUAAACAAGCUGAAGAUUACAUGGAUUUGUUUUUAUGGUUCUUUUCUGCCAAAGUACAAUAUUCUUGUUGGCAAUCAAAGCACUAUCUCAUGUAUAUAUACGCGCGUUAUCCUGGCUGGAUUAAAUUAUCAUAGCUGAGGGUGUAUUUCUGAAAUGUACAAACAUAUUUGUGCUGAUUAACUUGUUCAUAUUCUUGUAUAUAAUUUAAUUUAUUUAAGCAUGGCGGUUGCUUUCAUUAUGUGCAGCAUACCAGAUGCAUAUGUUAUAUAUGGUGAAGCGCACAAGUCAGUUUGUG
rnacentral:rRNA from 1 species